rnacentral:rRNA from 1 species
AAAUGAAUUGACGGGGACCCGCACAAGCGGUGGAGCAUGUUGCUUAAUUCGACGCAACGCGAAGAACCUUACCGGGGCUUGACGUGUACUGGAAGUGCUCAGAGAUGAGUUACGCUCUUCGGAGCUGGUACAUUAGGUGCUGCACGGCUGUCGUCAGCUCGUGCCGUGAGGUGUUGGGUUAAGUCCUCUAACGAGCGCAACCCCUUUCCACAGUUGCCAACAGGUAAAGCUGGGAACUCUGUGGACACUGCCGGUGACAAACCGGAGGAAGGUGGGGAUGACGUCAAGUCAUCGUGGCCCUUACGUCCCGGGCUGCAAACGUGCUACAAUGGCUGGUACAAAGGGAAGCGAGCCCGCGAGGUGGAGCAAAUCCCAAAAAACCGGCCUCAGUUCAGAUUGCAGUCUGCAACUCGACUGCAUGAAGUCGGAAUCGCUAGUAAUCGUGGAUCAGCAUGCCACGGUGAAUACGUUCCCGGGUCUUGUACACACCGCCCGU